AUAUACAGCCAUACCACCCUGAGAAUGCCCAAUCUCACCUGAUCUCAGAAGCUAAGCAGGGUCGGGCCCGGUCAGCACUUGGGUGAGAGACCAGGUUCCUCAUAAU
rnacentral:rRNA from 1 species